UACGGGGGGGGGCAAGCGUUUGUUCGGAAUUACUGGGCGUAAAGGGCUCGUAGGCGGCCAACUAAGUCGGACGUGAAAUCCCCGAGCUCAACUCGGGAACUGCGUCCGAUACUGGCGGGCUUGAAUCCGGGAGAGGGAUGCGGAAUUCCAGGUGUAGCGGUGAAAUGCGUAGAUAUCUGGAGGAACACCGGUGGCGAAGGCGGCAUCCUGGACCGGCAUUGACGCUGAGGCGCGAAAGCUAGGGGAGCAAACGGGG
rnacentral:rRNA from 1 species